rnacentral:SRP_RNA from 1 species
GUCGGGCGCGGUGGCCAACCUUUAGUCCAGCUGCUCGGAAGCUGAGGCUGAGGAUCGCUGAGCCCAAAGUUCUGGCUGCAGUGCGCUAUGCCGAUCGGUGUCUGCAAUUAAGUUCAGCAUCAAUACGGUGACCUCCCGGGAGUGCGGGACCCAGGUUGCCUAAGGAGGAGUGAACUGGCCCAGGUCAGAAACAGAGCAGGUCAAAACUCCCGUGCUGAUCACUAGUGGGAUCAUGCCUGUGAAUAGCCACUGUACUCCAGCCUGGGCAACAUAGCAAGACCUGGGCUCCA